rnacentral:sRNA from 18 species
CCGUUAGAAUCGCCCGGUCACUGGGGAGUAGCCUUCCUUCAUCCUUUGAAGGAGAACGCGUCAACAUACUUGGCCUCGUAGGUCAUGGCGCGUUCGACCGUGUCGGUUUGGCGAGACCAUUGACGCACUGCCUCGUUCUGGUCGGACGGGCGGCGGUGCGUCAUUGGUUUGUCAUCUACGUCCGACCGC